rnacentral:rRNA from 1 species
GACGAACGCUGGCGGCGUGCCUAAUACAUGCAAGUCGAGCGAAUGGAUUAAGAGCUUGCUCUUAUGAGGUUAGCGGCGGACGGGUGAGUAACACGUGGGUAACCUGCCCAUAAGACUGGGAUAACUCCGGGAAACCGGGGCUAAUACCGGAUAACAUUUUGAACCGCAUGGUUCGAAAUUGAAAGGCGGCUUCGGCUGUCACUUAUGGAUGGACCCGCGUCGCAUUAGCUAGUUGGUGAGGUAACGGCUCACCAAGGCAACGAUGCGUAGCCGACCUGAGAGGGUGAUCGGCCACACUGGGACUGAGACACGGCCCGGACUCCUACGGGAGGCAGCAGUAGGGAAUCUUCCGCAAUGGACGAAAGUCUGACGGAGCAACGCCGCGUGAGUGAUGAAGGCUUUCGGGUCGUAAAACUCUGUUGUUAGGGAAGAACAAGUGCUAGUUGAAUAAGCUGGCACCUUGACGGUACCUAACCAGAAAGCCACGGCUAACUACGUGCCAGCAGCCGCCGUAA